AUUAAAAAUUAGAACUCUAAACUUAGACUG
rnacentral:piRNA from 1 species